rnacentral:rRNA from 1 species
UAGCAUAUCAAUAAGCGGAGGAAAAGAAACCAACAGGGAUUGCCCUAGUAACGGCGAGUGAAGCGGCAGCAGCUCAAAUUUGAAAUCUGGCCUCCCGGGCCCGAGUUGUAAUUUGUAGAGGAUGCCUCGGAGUGGGCCCCGGCCUAAGUUCCUUGGAACAGGACGUCGCAGAGGGUGAGAAUCCCGUACGCGGCCGGUGGUCCCCUCCGUGUGAGGCUCCUUCGACGAGUCGAGUUGUUUGGGAAUGCAGCUCUAAGUGGGAGGUAAAUUUCUUCUAAAGCUAAACAUUGGCCAGAGACCGAUAGCGCACAAGUAGAGUGAUCGAAAGAUGAAAAGCACUUUGGAAAGAGAGUUAAAAAGUACGUGAAAUUGUUGAAAGGGAAGCGCUUGCAACCAGACCUGUCCGUAGUCGUUCAUCCAGGCUCUCGUCUGGUGCACUCCUCUGCGGUCAGGCCAGCAUCGGUUCCGGCGGUCGGAUAAAGACGGCGGGAAUGUAACUCCCUCCCGGGAGUGUUAUAGCCCGUCGUGCAAUGCGGCCAGCCGGGACCGAGGUCCGCGCCUCGGCUAGGAUGCUGGCUUAAUGGUUGUAAGCGGCCCGUCUUGAAACACGGACCAAGGAGUCUAACAUCUGUGCGAGUGUUUGGGUGUCAAGCCCGGACGCGUAAUGAAAGUGAACGGAGGCGGGAACCCUAGGGUGCACCGUCGACCGAUCCUGAUGUCUUCGGAUGGAUUUGAGUAAGAGCAUAGCUGUUGGGACCCGAAAGGUAAGAUGAACCCCCCUUGACUCUGAGUGGGUCGAAUGCUAACUUGUGCCGCAGAUGGUGAUCUAUGCUUGAAUAGGGUGAAGCCAGAGGAAACUCUGGUGGAGGCUCGCAGCGGUUCUGACGUGCAAAUCGAUCGUCAAAUUUGGGCAUAGGGGCGAAAGUGAGUCUACCGGGCGCGCCCUCUUGAUUAUUGGAAGAUGCUAACCCCUUGCAGG